UACGUAGGGGGCCAGCGUUGUCCGGAAUCAUUGGGCGUAAAGCGCGCGUAGGCGGUCAGGUAAGUCCGGUGUGAAAGUCAAAGGCUCAACCUUUGAAUGCCGCUGGAUACUGCUUGACUUGAGUCCGGAAGGGGCGAGUGGAAUUCCUGGUGUAGCGGUGAAAUGCGCAGAUAUCAGGAGGAACACCAGUGCGAAGGCAGCUC
rnacentral:rRNA from 1 species